rnacentral:lncRNA from 1 species
GGAGCAGGUGGGCGACAUGAUCGAUCGCCUUUUCGACACCUCUGCCUGAGCCUGCUGCUAGCCCUGCCUGGUUCCACCAGACUGGCGUGUCAUUGGACAGAUAAACCAGUGUUAACUUGCCUCUGGGCUGGCCCGUGUUCCCAGCCGAACCAGCACUCUCCCGGAAGCCUGGGGUCCCUUCACACCUUGGCUUUUAUGACCCUGAUGGCUUCUGAAACAGGAAAAGAGAGAAGGAAGACAGAGGCCUGUGCCCACUGCUGCUCCAUGUGUACCAAGAGCAGCAGGGCAGAAGGGCCCUCCCUCCAGCCUAGGUCAGAGGUGGGGACAGAGAACUCCCCUACAGCCCAGAGAUGUGGCAGGGCUCAGAGAAGCAGCCAGAGCUCCUGGAGGAAAGGCAGUCGGGACUGACCCCCUCCCUUAAAACACAUUCCCGCCCGCCCACAGGCCUGAGGUCUGGGACCUUUCCCUCCCAGGAGUCCCCUAGGUGGCUGGGGGAGGCAGGCUCACUGGCCAUUUUCCCUAGAGUCCAGCACACUGCAGGAGGCGUUCGGGGGAGGAGUUCCGCCCCACCCUCUACAGCCUUCCUCAGGCCCCUGUCUCUGGUCCCCAGCCUCAGUGCCUCUUGGCCCAGGGCCAGGCAGUCGUGGUUGCAGAAGGAGCAAUUAGGCUGCCUGCCUGUGGGCUGGGAGACAGGGACAAUGGGGAAAAGUUAAGGAGCAAAAUGGGGGUUGGAAGCAAAAAAUAGGGCCCCACCUAUUUAGGACGAGAUUGAAGACUGACCCUUGAGGCACACUUGCACUGGAGAUGGGUUUAUUUCACGCUCUGUGCUUGUGUGCUAGCGGAGGGAGAGCUCAGGGUGGCUUAAUCCAGAGGCCCUGUCAUGGCCCGCCCCCAGCCAUGGGAAAGCAAACUUCAUCCUAAGGUGUGCAGGCCAGGCCCUGCCCCUUUACAGUCUAGGCCGCCUGCCAUGGGGUGCAGCCUCUCCAGGGGCUGCGUCAGACUUGCAUGCUGCCCACAUCCAGAUUCCUGCAAAGACGAAUUGGGUGCACAGCACCCCAACCACAUACACGAGGAAGAAGAUGCGGUCAGCAGUCUCAGGCCAGCUUCUCUGUGACCCCUUUACUCCUCUGGGGGGCUCUGUGGGGAGAGAUACAGGGAAAGGAGCUGUUCUUCAAGGUCCCCUCAACAUGAGCGGAAGAGUGAACCCCAGGGGUCAUCAGCCUGUAUCGCUUCCUUUCUUAGAUUCUCAGCUGAUGAAAAUUUGGGUCUGGCCCAUUUCAGGCCAUCUUCAGUUGAAGAAACACCCUCUUAGGCUGUGCAAGGCAUGGGUUAUCAGGGGAUUGAGGUCACCUGGGACUUCAGGGAGGCUAAGCUUGCUCCCUGCCCCAGACCUGUUUCCUCUAAGGGAGGAGGACAUGGUGGAGACCAGGGACAGGAGAGCCAGCAGGGUGGAUGCAAGGGGCCUCUACGCACACCUGGACCUCCGGGCCCUCACCCCAGCCCUAGGUGUGCACCUAGGCCUCAUUCCUUACCCCCCAGCCCCUGCCCACCUUCAGCAGGAUGAGGCCCUGGGUUGCCGUGCUCUCGCUGUUCCCCUCUCGGGGCUGGGCUGGGGCCGCUCUUGGCCCCAAGGUUGCCCCGGGCCAGCAGCCCAGCCAGCAGCACAGUCUCUAUGGUGCUGAGGAAGAGCAGCAGCAGCAGGAUGGUGAAGUAGUAAACUGGGGGAGGCAGGGCACAGGGAGAUGCUCAGGGGCCAGUCCCUGUGUCUCUGGUGCCCAGCGAGCUGAGCACCAGUGGGUGACCGGGGAGAAACAGGGCAGGCUGGGUAAGGGAGCAGGGCUUACUGAGCAGUGGGUUGCAGGAGGAGGAGCUGGGCAGGGCCUGCACCAGGGAGGAGUGGAGGACGAGGUAACUCAGCAGCAAUGUCACCUUGUAGCCUAUGCGCUCAAUGGCCCGGAGGGGCAGCAACCCCCGC